rnacentral:rRNA from 1 species
UACGUAGGGUGCAAGCGUUAAUCGGAAUUACUGGGCGUAAAGCGUGCGCAGGCGGUUUUGUAAGUCUGUCGUGAAAUCCCCGGGCUUAACCUGGGAAUGGCGAUGGAGACUGCAAGGCUAGAGUUUGGCAGAGGGGGGUAGAAUUCCAUGUGUAGCAGUGAAAUGCGUAGAGAUGUGGAGGAACACCGAUGGCGAAGGCAGCCCCCUGGGUCAAAACUGACGCUCAUGCACGAAAGCGUGGGGAGCAAACAGG